rnacentral:rRNA from 1 species
AACGAACGCUGGCGGCAGGCCUUAUACAUGCAAGUCGAGCGCAUCCUCCGGGAUGAGCGGCGGACGGGUGAGUAACGCGUGGGAAUAUGCCCUUCUCUAAGGAAUAGCCUCUGGAAACGGAGAGUAAUACCUUAUACGCCCUUCGGGGGAAAGAUUUAUCGGAGAAGGAUUAGCCCGCGUUAGAUUAGGUAGUUGGUGGGGUAAUGGCCUACCAAGCCUACGAUCUAUAGCUGGUUUGAGAGGAUGAUCACCCACACUGGGACUGAGACACGGCCCAGACUCCUACGGGAGGCAGCAGUAGGGAAUCUUAGACAAUGGGGGCAACCCUGAUCUAGCCAUGCCGCGUGUGUGAUGAAGGCCCUAGGGUCGUAAAGCACUUUCGCCAGAGAUGAUAAUGACAGUAUCUGGUAAAGAAACCCCGGCUAACUCCGUGCCAGCAGCCGCGGUAAUACGGAGGGGGUUAGCGUUGUUCGGAAUUACUGGGCGUAAAGCGCACGUAGGCGGAUUAGUAAGUUAGAGGUGAAAUCCCA